CCUUGGGCAGGGAUGCCUCUCACAGCUCUGCCAGCCCCACAGCACUAGGGAAUCACCAUGAUAAAUGGCCCAUCUGUGCCAAGUCUGACCUGAGCCAGCCUGUGGGGUGGCCAGAUGCAGCUCUCACCGCUGCCCCCACAGCCAUCCUCCCGGCCCUAGUAACUGCCCUCAAGGCCUCUACAUCCAUUGGAUUGGUCUAUAUCCGUUAGCAGCCUAUGAGGUAGGGAAGACAGGGAUUCAGAGAUGGGAAAAUGAAGGCUGGAAGGCUGUUUGAAAGCCACAGUGACACCACAGGCUUCCUGGGAUGCAAACCUCAAGUUGCUGAAGGCUGGGAACUAGAAGAGAACCAUGACAGCGCCUUGGAAGACAGGAGAGGCAGGAGUCAUCUAGGAGAUGUGAAGUGGUAUCUCACUGUGUUUCAUCCACCCAUUUUUCCAUCUGCCUGCCUAGUUCUCCAAGCAGCCAUCUUUCUAUACCGUUUAUCUACUCGUCCAUUUUAUCAAUCAUCUCCCUAUAUAGCUCCAUCUUUUUGGUUGAACCAUAUGAAAAUGGUAUUCAACUAUCUUUGACCUAUAAAAACAGCAAUUUCAUGUGGUUUCACCUAAUCCAAUCACAACAACAUGAUGAAGUCAAUGGGACUGGAGCAUAAACUGCUGA